rnacentral:tRNA from 3 species
GACUCCGUAGCUCAGCUGGAUAGAGCGUUUGACUACGAAUCAAAAGGCCGCGUGUUCGAAUCACGCCGGGGUCACCA